GAAUCAGAAAUUUUAAGGAUUAGUAAAUAGACGUUUCUUUUUCAGAGAGGGUCCCGGUCGGUGAGAGGAACCCAAAGGAAGCUAUUGAACCUGCCUUUCAUAUCCUGCGUUGAAAAAUGCAGCGGUUCAUACCGUUAUCAUGUUCGAGAGUAAAGCUUUGCUUUGAAUUAGGGUGGUACCGCCUUCUGGGUCCCUAAU
rnacentral:ncRNA from 1 species